UUGUGAUGUAGGCAGGCUUUACGCGAUC
rnacentral:sRNA from 1 species